rnacentral:rRNA from 1 species
ACGGAAGGCAGCAGUGGGGAAUAUUGGGCAAUGGGCGAAAGCCUGACCCAGCAACGCCGCGUGAGUGAAGAAGGCCUUCGGGUUGUAAAACUCUUUUACCAAGGACGCAGGAAGUGACGGUACCUGGAGAAAAAGCAACGGCUAACUACGUGCCAGCAGCCGCGGUAAUACGUAGGUUGUAAGCGUUGUCCGGAUUUACUGGGUGUAAAGGGCGUGUAGGCGGAGCUGCAAGUCAGAUGUGAAAUCCCGGGGCUCAACACCGGAACUGCAUUUGAAAGUGUAGCCCUUGAGUAUCGGAGAGGCAAGCGGAAUUCCUAGUGUAGCGGUGAAAUGCGUAGAUAUUAGGAGGAACACCAGUGGCGAAGGCGGCUUGCUGGACGACAACUGACGCUGAGGCGCGAAAGCGUGGGGAGCAAACAGGAUUAGAUACCCUGGUA